rnacentral:lncRNA from 1 species
CCCACAGGUGUGGUUAAUGGAGCUCCUCGUUUACUAGGGUUGUCUAAAAUGACAGACACCGUGACUGAUGACCUGACCAAAAGUGAAGACGCUACCUCUGACUCUUCAGUGGGGAAGCAGGAGGAAGAAAUGGACGACGCCCUUGGUUUUGACGACGAGGCAGCUGAGAUGGAAGAAGCUCCUGCAGACACUCCAGGUAGGCUAUUGCCAAGCCAAGUGUGUUUGGUGUAUUUGGAACACCAUUAAAUACUUCC